AUUAGAGUUUGAUCCUGGCUCAGGACGAACGCUGGCGGCGUGCUUAACACAUGCAAGUCGAACGGUGACGAGCAGCUUGCUGCUCUGAUCAGUGGCGAACGGGUGAGUAACACGUGAGCAACCUACCCUUGACUCCGGGAUAACAGCUGGAAACAGCUGCUAAUACCGGAUACGACCUCGACCGACAUCUGUUGAGGUGGAAAGUUCUGGCGGUCAAGGAUGGGCUCGCGGCCUAUCAGCUAGUUGGUGAGGUAACGGCUCACCAAGGCUUCGACGGGUAGCCGGCCUGAGAGGGCGACCGGCCACACUGGGACUGAGAUACGGCCCAGACUCCUACGGGAGGCAGCAGUGGGGAAUAUUGCACAAUGGGCGAAAGCCUGAUGCAGCAACGCCGCGUGCGGGAUGACGGCCUUCGGGUUGUAAACCGCUUUCAGCUCCGACGAAGCGCAAGUGACGGUAGGAGCAGAAGAAGGACCGGCCAACUACGUGCCAGCAGCCGCGGUGAUACGUAGGGUCCGAGCGUUGUCCGGAAUUAUUGGGCGUAAAGGGCUUGUAGGCGGUUUGUCGCGUCGGAAGUGAAAACUCAGGGCUUAACCCUGAGCCUGCUUCCGAUACGGGCAAACUAGAGGAAUGCAGGGGAGAAUGGAAUUCCUGGUGGAGCGGUGGAAUGCGCAGAUAUCAGGAGGAACACCAGUGCGAAGGCGGUUCUCUGGGCAUUUCCUGACGCUGAGAAGCGAAAGCGUGGGGAGCAAACAGGCUUAGAUACCCUGGUAGUCCACGCCGUAAACGGUGGGCACUAGGUGUGGGACUCAUUCCACGAGUUCCGUGCCGUAGCUAACGCAUUAAGUGCCCCGCCUGGGGAGUACGGCCGCAAGGCUAAAACUCAAAGGAAUUGACGGGGGCCCGCACAAGCGGCGGAGCAUGCGGAUUAAUUCGAUGCAACGCGA
rnacentral:rRNA from 1 species